UGAGAAUGCUAAGCUAACAGACUUCU
rnacentral:piRNA from 1 species